AGGAAACUAAACCAGAAGGUGGAACAUCAGACGAUUUUCAUGACCCUGUAGAAAAGCCAUCUUUGAAGAAGUUUGUCAUGGAUGCGGCGUUGGAGGAUAAAUUGUGUCAUCUAUAUGAUAUCUUUAUUGAGGGACUGGAUGAAGAAGAUCAAGGUCCACCAAU